UACGUAGGGUGCGAGCGUUGUCCGGAAUUAUUGGGCGUAAAGAGCUCGUAGGCGGCUUGUCGCGUCGGAUGUGAAAGCCCGGGGCUUAACUCCGGGUCUGCAUUCGAUACGGGCAGGCUAGAGUUCGGUAGGGGAGAUCGGAAUUCCUGGUGUAGCGGUGAAAUGCGCAGAUAUCAGGAGGAACACCGGUGGCGAAGGCGGGUCUCUGGGCCGAUACUGACGCUGAGGAGCGAAAGUGUGGGGAGCGAACAGG
rnacentral:rRNA from 1 species